rnacentral:antisense_RNA from 1 species
UGUGGGAGCUGGCUUGCCUGCGAUGCGGGCACCUCGGUGUUUCAGCUACACCGCGGUGAUGCAAUCGCAGGCAAGCCAGCUCCCACA